GGCGAGGAGAUGUGGUAGGGGAGCGUUCCACGGUAGGUUGACGGAGUACCGUAAGGAGCUCUGGACGAAGUGGAAGUGAUUAUGCCGGAAUAAGUAGCGAAAAGACCCGCGAGAAACGGGUCCGCCGAAAACCUAAGGUUUCCUGGGGAAGGUUAAUCCGCCCAGGGUUAGUCGUGCCUAAGCUGAGGCCGAAAGGCGUAAGCGAUGGACAAUCCGCUUAAUAUUCGGAUACCACCUGUUAUGCGCUAUCAGUUACAGUAUGACGCAGUAGGUUAGAUCUACCCGGUGUUGGAUGUCCGGGAACAAGCCUGUAGCCCUUUCGGGGGUGAGAGGUUAUGUGGAGCCCAAUCCACGGAGCGGGCGAACCGAUUGACGCCACACUGCCAAGAAAAUCUAUUGUAACGAGUAUAACGGGUGCACGUACCGUAACCCGACACAGGUAGGUAAGGAGAAAAUCCUAAGGCGCUCGAAAGAACCCUCGUUAAGGAACUCGGCAAAAUGGCCCCGUAACUUCGGAAGAAGGGGUGCCUUGAAUCUUGUAGAUGUACAAUCGAAGGGAUUCGAGGCGACACUAAAGAGGCUCAGGCGACUGUUUAGCAAAAACACAUGUCUCUGCUAAGUCGUAAGACGAUGUAUAGGGACUGACACCUGCCCGGUGCCGGAAGGUUAAAAGGCGUUGUUAUCCCAAGCUUGUUUGGGAGAAGCAGCAAUCUGAAGCCCCGGUAAACGGCGGCCGUAACUAUAGAAUGGAUCACUGUAGUUGUAAAAUCUGGCUAUAUGCUGGAAAAUCCGGUGUAUCCUGAUCUACUCACCCUUAAAUCGUAGAAGGGAAGUGACAAUGAUUCAGGUGCGGACAAUCAGCAGGAAAGGCCUUUAAAGGAGGUCUCCGUGAAACAGAUUAAUUCUAAUGUCGGCCACUAUCUAGCAGGUUUUACUGAUGGCGAAGGAAGUUUUAACGUUUCCUUUAGGCCUCGAGAUGACUAUAAAAUACCAUGGAAAGUGUCUGUAUGUUUCAAUAUUUCCCAAAGAGAAAAAGUUAUACUAAGUUUAUUCAAACGGUAUUUGGGUUGCGGAACAAUGCGACAAAGAAAAGAUGGUGUUUGGUAUUUCGAGGUUAACAAUCUUAAUGCUAUCGAAGAAAAUGUAAUUCCCUUUUUUAAGAACUUCAGGUUCUUAUCACAGAAGAAAAAAAGGGAUUUUGCGAAAUUUUGCAAAAUUACACGCCUGCUUAAAGACGGAAAGCAAUUUUCUGAAACAGGCAUUAAGGAAAUAUUGGCUAUCAGGAAAGAAAUGAAUGAUGGUGGCAAGAGAAGGUAUACAGAGGAAGAGAUCUUAAAGAGACUUAAGGAAUCCUCAGAGACUAUACGCCAGACGGAGAAAUCCGAUGAUAUAGUCCGGUCUUCCGAGCGAUCGGAAGUUAACAUAAACGAACGGUCCUAAGGUAGCGAAAUUCCUUGUCGGGUAAGUAAUAUUGCCCGUACCGACUAAUAACGGUGAAGCCCUAAAGCUGUUGUGGUAUCCAAGGAACCAUGUAAAAAGCAGGGUAAUACCGUGGGAAGUCGCUGUUAAGGUUACAAAGGUUACGUAAGGUUACAUAAGUUACAAAGGUUACUUUAAAUUACAGAAAGCAAUUAAUUUUUAAGUAACAUUUGUAACCUUAAGUAACAUUUGUAACCUAAAGUAACCUUACAAUUGACCCCGUAACGACUGAUUUCAGCAAAAAUGCUGAAUGAGUAUGAUAAUGAUUACCGUAAGGGUAAAAUCGAUAUUAUCAUACAUACGUCGGUGUCUGAUUUAAAAAUCAGAUAAAGAUAUAGUCUACGCCUUUAGAAAUAAAGGAUAUAAACGUGAAGUUCCGACCCGCACGAAUGGUGUAACGGUCUGAGCGCUGUCUCAACGAGGGGCUCGGCGAAAUUGUAGCGACUGCGAAGAUGCAGUCUUCCCGCGACUAGACGAAAAGACCCCGGAACCUUUACUGUACCCUGGUAUUGGAUUUUGAUCCGUUAUGUGUAGGAUAGGUGGGAGGCACUGAAACCUCGGCGUCAGCUGAGGUGGAGCCAUCCUUGAAAUACCACCCUUAUCGUAUUAGAAUUCUAACCCAUUGCCUUGAAUCAGGCGUGGGAACAAUGCCAGGCGGGCAGUUUGACUGGGGCGGUUUCCUCAUAAAGAGUAACUGAGGAGCACAAAGGUUCCUUCAGCGCGUUUGGCAAUCGCGCAUCGAGUGUAAAGAUAUAUGGGAGCUUAACUGCGAGACCUACAAGUCGAGCAGAUGCGAAAGCAGGUCUUAGUGAUCCGGUGGUGAUGUGUGGAAAUGCCAUCGCUCAACGAAUAAUAGGUACUCCGGGGAUAACAGGCUUAUCGGGCCCAAGAGUUCACAUAGUGAGCUCCUUGCAAGGGUAACCUUGCUUGAAAAAGUGGCUAAUAUCGGUGAAACCCAGUACUAAGCUUAAAAAAUUAGUGCAGGGCAAUACCGAGGGAAGGUAUUUAUCUUAGGAGCUCUAAAUAAGAGUUUCUAUGAGCUAAGCUUGGAAUCUAAACUAAUCUAAUCCAUCUUGAUGAUGUUUUGGAUUUAGGGUCUUUUGAAAAAUACAAAAAUGAUCUAAUCAACCUGAUUAGACCUUUAUGAUUCCAAAGUAUGCUAUAUAAAUUACCCCUGUAACGACUGAAGGCAUAUUGCCUGAGAUAGUGAGUUUUUACGUGUACAAAUCUAUAACCACUAUCAUACGCCACUAUCCUCCAAAAGGAUAAUGUUAUAGUCUGACCCAUUAGUAAUAAUGGAUAGUCGUCACAUCGACGGCCCGGUUUGGCACCUCGAUGUCGGCUCAUCGCAUCCUGGGGGUGGAGAAGCUCCCAAGGGUCCGGCUGUUCGCCGGUUAAAGCGGUACGCGAGCUGGGUUCAGAACGUCGUGAGACAGUUCGGUCUCUAUCUGUCGUGGGCGUAGGAUAUUUGAAAAGAGCAAUCCGUAGUACGAGAGGACCCGGAUUGACGAACCUCUGGUGUUCCAGUUGUGCCGCCAGGCGCAAAGGCUGGGUAGCUAUGUUCGGAAAGGAUAAGCGCUGAAAGCAUAUAAGCGCCAAGCCCCCUUUAAGAAUAGAUAUCCCGCAUCGUAAGAUGCCUAAAGAGACCUUAUAGACUAUGAGGUUGAUAGGUUCUAAGUGUAAGUUUCGUAAGGAAUUUAGCUUAAGAAUACUAAUCUCUCGUGAGGCUUGACCAU
rnacentral:rRNA from 1 species